GUUAAGCGACUAAGCGUACACGGUGGAUGCCCUGGCAGUCAGAGGCGAUGAAGGACGUGCUAAUCUGCGAUAAGCGUCGGUAAGGUGAUAUGAACCGUUAUAACCGGCGAUUUCCGAAUGGGGAAACCCAGUGUGUUUCGACACACUAUCAUUAACUGAAUCCAUAGGUUAAUGAGGCGAACCGGGGGAACUGAAACAUCUAAGUACCCCGAGGAAAAGAAAUCAACCGAGAUUCCCCCAGUAGCGGCGAGCGAACGGGGAGCAGCCCAGAGCCUGAAUCAGUGUGUGUGUUAGUGGAAGCGUCUGGAAAGGCGCGCGAUACAGGGUGACAGCCCCGUACACAAAAAUGCACAUGCUGUGAGCUCGAUGAGUAGGGCGGGACACGUGGUAUCCUGUCUGAAUAUGGGGGGACCAUCCUCCAAGGCUAAAUACUCCUGACUGACCGAUAGUGAACCAGUACCGUGAGGGAAAGGCGAAAAGAACCCCGGCGAGGGGAGUGAAAAAGAACCUGAAACCGUGUACGUACAAGCAGUGGGAGCACGCUUAGGCGUGUGACUGCGUACCUUUUGUAUAAUGGGUCAGCGACUUAUAUUCUGUAGCAAGGUUAACCGAAUAGGGGAGCCGAAGGGAAACCGAGUCUUAACUGGGCGUUAAGUUGCAGGGUAUAGACCCGAAACCCGGUGAUCUAGCCAUGGGCAGGUUGAAGGUUGGGUAACACUAACUGGAGGACCGAACCGACUAAUGUUGAAAAAUUAGCGGAUGACUUGUGGCUGGGGGUGAAAGGCCAAUCAAACCGGGAGAUAGCUGGUUCUCCCCGAAAGCUAUUUAGGUAGCGCCUCGUGAAUUCAUCUCCGGGGGUAGAGCA
rnacentral:rRNA from 1 species